GGGGGUGUCGUUCAAUGGCAGGACCUUCGUCUCCAAAACGAAAGAUGGGAGUUCGAUUCUCUCCACCCCUG
rnacentral:tRNA from 1 species